rnacentral:rRNA from 1 species
UAUUUAUUAGAUAACGAACCAAUAUUCCUUGUGUCUAUUGUGGUGAUUCAUAGUAACUGAUCGAAUCGCAUGGACCUUGUCCGCGAUAAAUCAUUCAAGUUUCUGCCCCAUCAGCUUUCGAUGGUAGUGUAUUGGACUACCAUGGCUUUCACGGGUAACGGAGGAUUAGGGUUCGAUUCCGGAGAGGGAGCCUGAGAAACGGCUACCACAUCUACGGAAGGCAGCAGGCGCGUAAAUUACCCAAUCCUGACUCAGGGAGGUAGUGACAAGAAAUAACGGACCGAAGCAUCUUGUUUCGGGAUUGCAAUGGGAACAAUUUAAACCCCUUAACGAGGAUCAAUUGGAGGGCAAGUCUGGUGCCAGCAGCCGCGGUAAUUCCAGCUCCAAUAGCGUAUAUUAAAGUUGUUGCAGUUAAAAAGCUCGUAGUUGGACUUCUGGGAGGGCGCCGCUGUCCGCUGUUGCGUGUGCAGCGGCACCCUUCCAUCCUUCUGUUAACGUUUCUUGGUAUUCAGUUACUGGUUUCGGGCUCAGAUAUUUUACCUUGAGAAAAUUAGAGUGUUUCAGGCAGGCUUGCGC